AUCGAUGAAGAACGCAGCGAAAUGCGAUAAGUAAUGUGAAUUGCAGAAUUCAGUGAAUCAUCGAAUCUUUGAACGCACAUUGCGCCCCUUGGUAUUCCGAGGGGCAUGCCUGUUCGAGCGUCAUUACAACCCUCAAGCUCUGCUUGGUAUUGGGCAUCACCCGCAAGGGCGUGCCUUAAAAUCAGUGGCGGUGCCAUCUGGCUCUAAGCGUAGUAAUACUCCUCGCUAUAGUGUCUUGUGGUGACUUGCCAACAACCCCUAAUUUUUUUUUAUGGUUGACCUCGGAUCAGGUAGGGAUACCCGCUGAACUUAAGCAUAUCAAUAAGCGGAGGAAAAGAAACCAACAGGGAUUACCUCAGUAACGGCGAGUGAAGCGGUAACAGCUCAAAUUUGAAAUCUGGCUCUUUCAGGGUCCGAGUUGUAAUUUGUAGAAGAUGCUUCGGGUGUGGUCCCGGUCUAAGUUCCUUGGAACAGGACGUCAUAGAGGGUGAGAAUCCCGUAUGUGACUGGGUACCUAUGCUCAUGUGAAGCUCUUUCGACGAGUCGAGUUGUUUGGGAAUGCAGCUCAAAAUGGGUGGUAAAUUUCAUCUAAAGCUAAAUAUUGGCCAGAGACCGAUAGCGCACAAGUAGAGUGAUCGAAAGAUGAAAAGCACUUUGGAAAGAGAGUUAAACAGUACGUGAAAUUGUUGAAAGGGAAGCGCUUGCAACCAGACUUGCACGUUGUUGAUCAUCCGAGAUUUUUCCCGGUGCACUCGAUUUCGUUCAGGCCAGCAUCGGUUUCAGUGGUUGGAUAAAGGCCUUGGGAAUGUAGCUUCUUUCGGGGAGUGUUAUAGCCCUCGGUGCAAUGCAGCCUACUGGGACCGAGGACCGCGCUUCGGCUAGGAUGCUGGCGUAAUGGUUGUAAGCGACCCGUCUUGAAACACGG
rnacentral:rRNA from 1 species